rnacentral:rRNA from 2 species
UGCAAGUCGAGCGGUAACAGUCCUUCGGGAGCUGACGAGCGGCGGACGGGUGAGUAACGCGUAGGAAUCUACCCAGUAGCGGGGGAUAGCCCGGGGAAACUCGGAUUAAUACCGCAUACGCCCCAAGGGGGAAAGCAGGGGAUCUUCGGACCUUGCACUAUUGGAUGAGCCUGCGUUGGAUUAGCUAGUUGGUAGGGUAAAGGCCUACCAAGGCGACGAUCCAUAACUGGUCUGAGAGGAUGAUCAGUCACACUGGAACUGAGACACGGUCCAGACUCC